rnacentral:rRNA from 1 species
GAUGAACGCUGGCGGCGUGCCUAAUACAUGCAAGUCGAGCGAACGGACGAGAAGCUUGCUUUUCUGAUGUUAGCGGCGGACGGGUGAGUAACACGUGGAUAACCUACCUAUAAGACUGGGAUAACUUCGGGAAACCGGAGCUAAUACCGGAUAAUAUUUUGAACCGCAUGGUUCAAAAGUGAAAGACGGUCUUGCUGUCACUUAUAGAUGGAUCCGCGCUGCAUUAGCUAGUUGGUAAGGUAACGGCUUACCAAGGCAACGAUGCAUAGCCGACCUGAGGGUGAUCGGCCACACUGGAACUGAGACACGGUCCAGACUCCUACGGGAGGCAGCAGUAGGGAAUCUUCCGCAAUGGGCGAAAGCCUGACGGAGCAACGCCGCGUGAGUGAUGAAGGUCUUCGGAUCGUAAAACUCUGUUAUUAGGGAAGAACAUAUGUGUAAGUAACUGUGCACAUCUUGACGGUACCUAAUCAGAAAGCCACGGCUAACUACGUG